rnacentral:tRNA from 1 species
AUUAAAGUGACAGAACACUAAUAAAUGUGAGGAAUUUAAGCUUCCUUAAUGAAUUUUAUUCCUUUAAUA